CGCGAAUGGCUCAUUACAACAGCUAUAAUUUACUAGACCUUGAGCAAUUACACGGAUACCUGUGGCAAUUCUAGAGCUAAUACGUGCACCGAAGUUGUUCCUCACGGAGCAAUGCAUUUAUUAGAACAAAACCAAGCGGCUUCGGCUGUUUUCGGUUGACUCAUAGUAACUGAGCUGAUCGCAUGGUCUUGCACCGGCGACGUGUCUUUCGAGUAUCUGCCGUAUCAACUUUCGAUGGUAGUGUAUCUGACUACCAUGGUGAUCACGCGUAACGGAGAAUAAGGGUUCGACUCCGGAGAGUUCGCCUGAGAAAUCGCGAACACAUCUAAGGAAGGCAGCAGGCGCGAAAAUUACCCACCCUCAGCACGAGGAGGUAGUGACGAAAAAUAACGAGACCGUUCUCUUAUGAGGCCGGUCAUCGGAAUGGGUACAAUUUAAACCCUUUAACGAGUAUCUAUGAGAGGGCAAGUCUGGUGCCAGCAGCCGCGGUAAUUCCAGCU
rnacentral:rRNA from 1 species